rnacentral:rRNA from 1 species
GACGAACGCUGGCGGCGUGCUUAACACAUGCAAGUCGAACGGAAAGGCCCUGCUUUUGUGGGGUGCUCGAGUGGCGAACGGGUGAGUAACACGUGAGUAACCUGCCCUUGACUUUGGGAUAACUUCAGGAAACUGGGGCUAAUACCGGAUAGGAGCUCCUGCUGCAUGGUGGGGGUUGGAAAGUUUCGGCGGUUGGGGAUGGACUCGCGGCAUAUCAGCUUGUUGGUGGGGUAGUGGCUUACCAAGGCUUUGACGGGUAGCCGGCCUGAGAGGGUGACCGGCCACAUUGGGACUGAGAUACGGCCCAGACUCCUACGGGAGGCAGCAGUGGGGAAUAUUGCACAAUGGGCGGAAGCCUGAUGCGGCAACGCCGCGUGCGGGAUGACGGCCUUCGGGUUGUAAACCGCUUUCGCCUGUGACGAAGCGUGAGUGACGGUAAUGGGUAAAGAAGCACCGGCUAACUACGUG